UACGUAGGGUGCGAGCGUUAAUCGGAAUUACUGGGCGUAAAGGGAGCGUAGGCGGACAGCUAAGUCAGAGGUGAAAGCCCAGGGCUCAACCCUGGAAUUGCCUUUGAUACUGGUUGUCUUGAGUAUGGGAGAGGUGUGUGGAACUCCGAGUGUAGAGGUGAAAUUCGUAGAUAUUCGGAAGAACACCAGUGGCGAAGGCGACACACUGGCCCAUUACUGACGCUGAGGCUUGAAAGCGUGGGGAGCAAACAGG
rnacentral:rRNA from 1 species